rnacentral:sRNA from 1 species
AAAAUGAACCAAUAGAUCUAGGGAUGUAUAAUCAUAGGAAAAGAGUGAAGAGGUGAAGGAGAGCUAAGGAGAAGGGAGGAAUGAAGGAAGAAUCAAGGAAGAGGAAGAGGUAAGAGAAGAGAGCGAAGAGGAUGAAGAAAAUAGAAAUUAGGGUUUGAUUUUUAUUUUGAGCUUUUUUCUUAUUUUGGGCUAAGUAUUGGCGGCAUAGGGAAAAUAUUUGGUUAAUGUUGGCGAUUAUAAGU